rnacentral:rRNA from 1 species
UACAGAGACCUCAAGCGUUAUCCGGAAUCAUUGGGCGUAAAGCGUACCGAUAGGUGGUUUUACAAGUCAGAAGUGAAAUCUCUCAGCUUAACUGGGAGACUGUCUUUUGAAACUGUAAAACUAGAGGAACAAAGAGGAAGCUGGAACGAACGGUGUAGUAGUGAAAUGCGUUGAUAUCGUUCGGAACACCAAUAGCGUAGGCAGGCUUCUGGGUGUUUCCUGACACUGCUAGGACGAAAGCGUGGGGAGCGAUAAGG